rnacentral:rRNA from 1 species
GACGAACGCUGGCGGCGUGCUUAACACAUGCCAGUCGAACGGAAAGGCCCUGCUUUUGUGGGGUGCUCGAGUGGCGAACGGGUGAGUAACACGUGAGUAACCUGCCCUUGACUUUGGGAUAACUUCAGGAAACUGGGGCUAAUACCGGAUAGGAGCUCCUGCUGCAUGGUGGGGGUUGGAAAGUUUCGGCGGUUGGGAAUGGACUCGCGGCUUAUCAGCUUGUUGGUGGGGUAGUGGCUUACCAAGGCUUUGACGGGUAGCCGGCCUGAGAGGGUGACCGGCCACAUUGGGACUGAGAUACGGCCCAGACUCCUACGGGAGGCAGCAGUGGGGAAUAUUGCACAAUGGGCGGAAGCCUGAUGCAGCAACGCCGCGUGCGGGAUGACGGCCUUCGGGUUGUAAACCGCUUUCGCCUGAGACGAAGCGUGAGUGACGGUAAUGGGUAAAGAAGCACCGGCUAACUACGUG